UUGCUGUAAGUAUGUGCACAUAAUCCAAUAAAUAUUUUUAACAUACAAUUAAGCUCUGAAAGAAGUUUAAAGUGUGUAUUUCAGAUACUUCCUAAAGAUAUCUUCAAUGACCUCAAACAGCUAGCCUAUAGCAUCUAGAAGGGCAAGAAGAGGAACUAAAAGACUACUUUAAAAAUGAAUGGGGAUACAACAACAAAAAAAAGAGUAAAAUGAAAGGCUGGAAGUAUUUCUGUGUGUACAGAAACCAUGCAUAUUCCAGCUCAUAAGAGACAGAGAAAAAUAAAUAAUCUAUCUUGCAUUUUCACCCAGGGCACAGUGAAGUUAAUGCACGUUUUUCUCUUGAUUUCAAUGAGCUUUGGCUUGGGUCCUUUAGCUCUUCUGUCAGAUUCAAAGCAACCAGAAAGAUUUAUGUCUUUCUCAAUUUCCUCUCAAUUUUUUACAUCUACCUGCAACAGGGUGACGGUGAAAGAUAAAAACAGGAGUAAAACAAUUACUUUUAUGCCUUCAAAAAUGCAAAAUGCAGGACAGCAGUACUUAUUAGAGCCAAAGAAAAGUUAGACAGCAAUGCCUCAUUUUCUGUAUUACAUCUGGAAGACAACGAAUGUUCUAGCCUGUAUAAGGAGAAAAUACCUACUCUUUUUGAGAUUUGUAAAUACAAAGUGCUUAUAGUGAGCAAUUCAGAUUGAUAAGGGCUGAAGUCAGAACCCUUGUCACAACUAUAAGCCUACAGAUGUGGACUUUCUUCUCACUUAUACUCUUUAUACAUCAGUGCAACCCUGUGACUUUAAUGGAGCUAUUCCAGAUCAGCUGAUGAGCAAGUGAGAGCAGAAAACUGGCUCACAACUUUCUGGAGAGCUGAGUUCAAGUUUUCAGAGAACAGCUAAAAACCCCAGUUCACCCCCAUAACUACACUGGAGUGGAAGGCGUGCGUUAAAGGUUAACUUGGAAACCUCGUUAUGACAUAACACAGGCAUCUUAAGCAAUCCCAAGUGUGUAGAGACAUGAUAACUCAUCGGGUGGGGAUUGGGAGUUGAGGGGCAGUGACAAGGGGCCUGGACGAGGCUACCGAACUGCCAGAAAACAGCCUGAAACAGGAAAGAGCACCACAUAUGCCACUUGGAAUGUGUGACGCAAACCCCAGCCUUGAAACAAAGAACAGGAAACAGCUCUGCUGGCUGUGCUGGGGAGAAAGCACAGAGAAACAUUUAGGCGGCCCUCCCUGACCCUAUAUUCAUGAGCAGCUGGAGUCUUUUAAAACAACAACAGUGGGUGGAGGUGUUUGUUCAUUGGGUGUGAAUGAAAACACUGUCCUUAUGCAGGGGACCUGCCCUAUUUACAAACAGUCUCCCUUAACGUGAGGGAGCAGAUUUUAAGACACCACAGGUCAGGAGGAUUCACUGAAACCUUCCCUGAGACCAGUUGGUUUAUUACAGUAUUUACAGAAUGGCAGUAGCUAAACAGGGCUCUGGCUCCAUGACAUCAAAGAGGCAGCGCCCAGCCUGGCAGUGAGUACCUUGUUCACAGACAGAGCUAGGGAUGAGACCAUUGCAGGGAGGAUUUGUAAAGCUCGGGGCUGCUCCUGGACAGUGCCUCACUCAUGCUCAGUACUGCUCCGCAGCUCAGCACCAACGUCACUCAGAACACCCAAGAAUAUUCUUCUAAGCCCUCACAUGCCUGGCCUUCCACAUCCCUGUUUUCAUAUGCACUGAGACUUCAUGUCAGAAUCUGAUUUCCUAUGAAUUUACUACUUUUAUUUUUGAAGCACUCACAUAUAAAGCUGAACAAAUGAAAUAAGCUGAAGAAUAGCACAACUUGUCUAGAUUUCAUGCAGCAGAAUAACUUCAACACUUAUUUUCCUUCAAAGCUGUGGUUCCAAAUACUCUCUCUUCUCUUAGAUACCUUGCAUCAGUUAUUUAUAUGCCAUGGGUAGGACAUCUAACAUUAUCAGAUGUGAGAAUGUUACGUGGAUGAGGACAACAGCAACACCAAUGAGUGCUGUGAGGUUCCAAGCUUGGAGUUUAAUAAUGGACUUGGGGUAAAAACUGGCUGGUACAGCAUCUACACAGCAAGAUGUGGGUCUAGGUUUUAUGCCAAUUGUAUCAGUUCCUUUUUCAUACUGAAUAACUGCAAAUAUAGGAAAUUCGGUGAUUGUAUAACGUUUCUAGUAUCACUGAGUCUUCAACUCAUCUCACUCACACAUCCUUAUUUAUCUGAAGGCUUUUGCUUUUGGCUAAACAGGUGUUGACUAGGUCAAAUGUUCACAGUACCUAAGGGCUCCCUUGCAGUUCUGCAACUUGGAGGAAGUUUUGCUUGGAUUCUCAAGGGAGGGAGAAAACAUUUAGUGUUCUUUCCUUCCCCCACCCUUCGCCCUUACCCCCAGUCUCUCGUGUGAUCUGUACCAUAACUAUAACAGUGUGCACAGGGAAAAACACCCCAGAAAUAUUUGCCUGCUUGCGCAAAAAAGGCUAGUCAAGUUAGCUUUAGGCUUUUUAUACUUUGAUACUAGGCAAUAACGAUAUAUUCUUAAAAAUACAAGGUGAAAGUUAAUUUGAAGUAAGUGUCUUCUGGUUCAGGUGGGAUUAUCAAAUCCAGAUGUUAUUCCUCUCACACAAGUACCAGCUGCUCAUGUGAUUAUCACACCAGUAUCUUAAACGUAUUUGUUGAAAAAAAUCACUAGUUAGCAGCCAUGUAAGUCCUUGUUUUCAAUACAGACAGAUAUAUAUUUAUAUUAGUUUAAAUAAGGUCAAGUUUUCAGAGCUCUCCUACCAGUUACUCAAACUCAGCUUUUCCCAACAAUUAAACCUUCAGAGCUCAGUUCUACAAACAGUGGCACUUCCUGAAUUUUCAAAGGUGAGGAAGUGAAUACAACACAGUGGACAGUGCAGGGUACAGUACCUGAAUCAAAAGGGAAGUACACAAAACAACUUUAAUGUAUUUUUUUUAAUGUAAUUCCUGAAUGACCACUUCAGCUAUUCUGAACUGGGUCUUUCUUUCUCCCAAGCUCCAUUUAGGUGCUGUGAUCUCCCAAAGAGGCUCGUGUUGCUGAGCCUUCCUUUGCCAGGGCUCCCCCAGCUGCGACAGGCACUCACCUGACAGUGGUCCUAGGCAAUUAAGUUUUAUUCCCAUUUCGGUUAAAAAAAAAAUAUAAACAGGAAUCCAGGAAAAAAAAAGAAAAAAAGAAAAAACCAACAAAAGGCACCUAGCAAACGAAGUGUUAUUUCUAACUCCACACUUCGCUGCUGUGCUGUCCCACGUUUUACCUUUGCCUGCAUGGCGGCCAAGCGCUGCUAAGGUGACAUGACUAUACGAGGGGCAGGCUUUUAGGAGCCGAUUUCAUCCUGGACUUCACCAAGAGUUAAACUGAGGCCAUGGCGCUUGCCGAUCCGCUGCGGCUGGGACACGGCCCGUACGCGAGCUCCUGCCCCGGCAUCCACCGCACCGCCCGCGGAACCGAGCGAGCCCGCUCUAGUGUCCGCCUCGGUUCGGCCGGCCACUGGGUCCCGCCCGGCACCCCAAGGCACUUCAGUCUCUGUCCCAAGACGCGCCUGUCCCGCCCCGGCGAGAGGCCGGGGGCUGCGGCCGCGCUGGGCGGGAGAGCGGCCCCGAGGGGCCGGCGGCCCUCGGGCCCUCCCGCCGGGGACAGGCGGGGGAGGGCGCCGGGGAAGGCUCCCCCCGAGCGGCCCCGCCGGCCACACAGGUGCGCUGCGGGCGCGGCGGACAGCGGCGGCCCCCGCCCCCGGCUCCCGCCGGCCGCACAGCGAGUUUCCCAGGCGCCGCGGAGGGAGCCCCCGCGGAGAGUUCUGCUCCCCCUUCCCCGCAACUGCGGCGUGCCGGAGACCCAGCUCCCGCCACCCCCGGCGUGGCUGCGGCUCCCGCGGCACCACCUUGCCGCCUCGGGCUCCGCGCUGCUCUCAGCGCCUGGAAACUUUUCUCCUCCGGCACCUCCAUCCCGCAGCCGGCAGAGCGCGGCCCCCGCAUUACCCCUGCCCUCACACUUACGCUCGGCAGGCGGUGCGGAGCGCGCCGCGGUUCCCUCGGCUCCCGCAGCGCCGGGGGUCACGAGCAACUGUUGUGAGCAUGCUCUUAUGACUCAGGAGUACCACCAAGCACCCAGAGGGUCCUCCCUUUUCAGUUCUUCUCUGCUGAAAAGCAUGCCUGGAGUCUGCCUUGAUAAAGACAGGAAAUUCUUCAGUAGAGUAAAAUGUCCAGUGUCACUUGGUACCAAAAGAUAGGAAAGAUGACAAUUCUGCUGAAGGUUUGAGUCCAGAGACAGAGGAAGUGGCUAACAACUAAAAGAUUUAAAGGAAAUACCAGUGGCAACACAAAGAGAAACAGCUUAAUUAAAACACCAUCUAGAGCAAUGCACUUUCUUUGGCACUCGUGAUUUUUUAUUGAGAAGAGGAAUAUCAAAAAAUGGUACUUCUACUGUGUUUGGGAGAUCGGCCCAAACUUACACAAUGCUAAUGCAACCUCUGACCUAUAUUGAAGCCAGGCAGCUCCUGACAUGAUAUGGGUGCUCAAGCAGGGAAGAGAGCACACACACUUGUCUGCAGCCUUCUGGCUGAACACAAGGACUCCUAUGGCUGAUGGAGCACAAAGACUAGAGACCUUGGAAGGAGCACAAGGAGAGAGGUUGGAAAGGGAUGGAUCACUGUGCCUCCAAAGGCAAUCCAGCUCUGACACUCUCUAGGAGUUUAUCACAACAUCUCCCAGUGCCUACACAAGGUCUGUAUGCAGCCUCUACAACCCAAAGUCUGUAUGUCAUAAUAUACCAUCAGUCUGCAAAACUAGGCAGGGUUUGGGAAAAGUCUCAUACUUUCCAGUCUUUCCUGUCUAUUGUUGGUUUUCCAUUACUCUGCUUCUGGAUGCCCCUGAAAAACCACAAGAACUUCCCUUCUUGUAGGGUUUCAUCACUUUUGCCUCAAAAUGAAACUCACCAAAAUGAAAAACAGCUGGAUCAAAAAGAAAUCUAGUAAGCAAAUAAGCAAACAAAUCCAAAUCAUCAAAAAUUAAGUUGAUUUUAAUUCUGUAUCUGGUUUUGGCCAAACCGUAUAUUAAUUUUUAGAUUUUUUUCUUCCUGUCACUUUAUAUGUCUUUUGCAAGAAUAAUCACAUUUGGUUUUAGUCUCUACCAGUCUCUGAUCUGUAUUUCUGUUUUGCUGCCACUGGGAAACUGCUUUGCCACUAUGUUCCUGCUUAUGUCAUUAGACCAUAUUACUGGUGAUUUUUGGCUUAAACUCAAGCUUUUGAUCAGCACCUAGUAGAAAAAUAUGUCUUGCUUCUUUUUAUUUAGGAUCUGAAAUACUUUUGUCACUUGGGUUGAUGCUACACAAAGAGGGUUUUCUCUAAAUCCUCUGAAAAGCUUUGUGCCUCUACUAUUGUGUUACCCACAGUUCACACUUUAAGGCAGGUAAAAGGACAAUUCUAAAAAUCUCUCUUGAACUGAAUAUGAUCAAUCAAUAAUUAACACUUGACAUCCAAUAAGUCCAAAUUCCAGCAUACAGAAUGUUUCUCUUGGCACAUCAUGCUUGUCAGCUCCAUUUUCAAUUUGAGCUGGCAGCCAGCGAUAGCAGCAGACUUACAGCAGGCGUUCUGCAGGCUUUUGUAUCUGGGGUGGGUACUAAUUUUACAAAGUAAGGACACAGGAAUAACUUAGAGAAAACAAGAAUUCCAGAGCUAGACUAAUGGGACAGGCCUCUGGAUAAUGACUUUUAAUACAGAUUAUUGAAAAGUAAACUAUUCUGAGUUAAAGGGAAGGUAUUUAGGUGUGCGAAAGAGGAGGUAAAUUACUAGGUGCAUGUAAAGGACAGGCGACUGGAGACUGGGGAGCGAAAGUGGAUUUUUCCAAAGGAAAGGCAGGGCCUGACAAGUUUUUCCCUCAGCGCUUCCCCACGGAGGCCAGCCUGACGGGAAAGAGCCGCAUUCAGUGUGUGCCCGGCGCUGGGCCCCGCCCGCAGGGCGCGGUGCGGCCCGGCCGGAGCGCGGGCGGCUCCGCGGCUGGGCCCCGGCAGGGGCCGCGCUCCGGGCCUGCCGUGAGGGAGGGCGCGCUGUGCCCCGGGCCGCGCCGCUCCUGAGCGCUGCUGCUUCAUGCUUUGGGCUCUUUGUUUCCCUUGUCCUGCUGCCAGCAGGGCAGACAGUGCAGGCAGUCAAGGAGCAGCUGCCUGCCGGAGCUCGGAGGCUCACGUCACACAGGCAGGGCUGCCGGGGCACAGCCAGCCCGCGAGGGGGUGAGGUUAGGUGAAACAUUAGCCACGUUGUCUUGGCUUCCCGCCAGGGCCUUUCAAAUAUUUCUUUAUGUGCUGCUGAUGCUGUGCUUGUUUGGCAUUUAAAAGGUAUGCUCCGACAGGAUUUCACAACGAGCUGCCAUUUUACGGUUCAAAACAGAUGCGAGCUUAUCACCCAUGGCAAUGUGUGUCUCCAUGAACCCCUUCCUCUCCCCUUCCUCUCCCCUCCCUCGGGGCUUGCAGCGGAGCCACUCCAGGCAGAUCAAUCAUGAGGACUGUGUAAGCGGCUAAAAAUAAUGCAAGUCAUAAAAGUCUGGAAGCUGUUGAUCAUUUUGGGGUUUGGUUCAAAUACUGGUCAAUACCGAUGACUGUGCUAUCUGGACAGUAGUAGAUAAGGGUCAGAUGUUCCUCUAAGGUGAUUAAGAUGACUUGCAGUCCCCUUCCUCAAUGCCUGUUGCCAAAGCGUGUCUCUUCAGUUUUUCAGGUUGCAGAGAACAGGCAGAUAUCCUUGACAGUUUGUCACUAGCAGAAUUUCAUCCUAGAUUCAGAAAUAUAGUGUUGGAAGGCAGAACAAACUGAGCAUCCUGAGAGAUGCCAGUCAAACCAGUUCUUAAAGACUCCACCAGUGCUGCAGGCAACAUGUGCCAGUGCUUCCUUGUCCUUUCUAAAGCUUCUCGUUAUCCAGAUGGUUCUUUAUCUACCUGUCCAGCAACAUAAAGGUGGAGCUGCGUGUUGCAACACUACUGGUGACUUGCAGAAUGUCCUAUAGACAGUAUUUCCUCCAGGUCAGGGUGGGGAUGGUGAGCAGGAUAGUUUGAUAAAGUCUGGAGUGCAAAUUCAAAUGGCUGAAAUACAUCUUGUGCCCAAGAUAAACAAUAGAAAGGUCAGAGAAGUGAGCAAAUGCAGGCACGAGCUUUCACAGCUUUUGUACGGUUGCAUCUUAAUUUUGUGCUGGGAUUUGUAAUAUCAUUGUCAAAGGAGACUAAUGCACAGAAGAUGACUCUAAUGAAGUGCUAUUCUUUAAAGAAACAGGAGAUUUGAGUACUUAGGAAUCAAAUAUUUUGUUUACUCUGAGCUGGCUCUUUGACCAUUAUGCUAGUGCUGUGUGAAUGCUAUGAAAAUGGACAGAGGUAUUAUUAUUAUUAUUAUUAUUAUUAUUAUUAUUAUUAUUAUUUGUAAGGAAUAGGUAAUAUUCUGAUUACCUUCUAGGUAAUUUGCGCUGGUUUUGAGCUCAUUUUUCUUUCUCAUCUCCUGGAAGAUAGGCAAAGAGUAGCUUGAGAAGAAACAGACACACACAAAGACACACACACAGAGCUUACCAAGAGAGGUCACUGCAACAUCCUCCGUGGAUGCAUUCACAAAGGCAUGAAACAACACUCUCAAGGCUGGUCAGAGGGGAUCACUGCCUGCCUUGUAGGGUUUGGAUCUCACACAGAACUCUAAAUCACAGAAGUGAAGAAAACUGUGCACUGUCCUAAUCAUGGGAAUGAUUUUAAUAUCAUGAGGUACUUCAAAAAAAGUCCAUUUCUUUUUUUCUCUUGUGUGUAAGAGAGAAAGGCAGACAAUGUGUGUUGCCAGCUCUUCUCGAUAGACAGAGGGUGAUACCAUCCUCUGUAAGAACUCUCUCUGGCCUCCUGAAAGUAGGAAGUUUCCAGCCUUCCCUCAGAUUCUUAAUUUCUAAUUAAUUUAUUCUAGAUCCUACCAGCACACAUCUGCACUCUUCUCUUGCUCAACAAUUAGUUAUGCAACCCAAGAAAAACAUGGUAUUAAUUCCUGAAUUUCCAAGCUCUGUUCCUGCCCUGAAAUCUUCUCGCCUGUCUCUGCCCCUCCUGCUGGUCGUGGAUCCUGUGCUCAGGGUGGAAGAAGGCUUUGCUGGAGAUGCUUCACUUGGCUGCCACUGCUCACAGAGCUGGUGCUGAGGGAUGGAGAAUGAAGGGGCAGCAGAGCGCAGCAUGACCCACUUUUCACUGACUGAUAUCCAGAAUUAAUCAACUCGCAUGUCCUUCUGCAUAACAUGGAUCAAAGGGUUUCCCAGCAUUUGUUCCUGUUUGAACUAUUGAUUUUCUUUGCAUAAACCAGCCAAGUUUAAUUAAAUUAUGCACAGUGAUAAAGAAUCUACCCUCAGCUCUGUGUAAAUGGUUCCAGCAGUUAAUUUCCCCUCUCUGCUGAAACCACAUGCCUUAUUUCUAGGGCAGAUUGUCUAGACAGAUGUGUGUGAGAGCCCACUCCAAAAUUUUGCUUCAAAUACAGGUACUCCUAAAUUACACCUACACAAGCCUUUCCCUUUGCUCUACUGAAGAGCUCGAACUUUUGGAAGCUCUUUCUGGAAAACACAUUUUCCAGUCCUUAGUCAUUCAGUGAACUCUCAUCUGAAACCUCUUGACUUGUAUGUGUGAGGCCAGGACACUUUUCAGCUGAGACCAGGUACAGAUUUUGUCCGUAGCAUCCAGAGUUCCCAGGUUCAUGUACACAAGAAUUCCUUUUGCUGGAGCAAACAUUUCCUCCUGUUGGGUUAUCUGCCCUGGCCUCCCUGCAGACUCACUGCUUCUAAGGGCUCCAUUAACCUGUGAGGAUGACCUGAAAGAUUUGUUCUGUAAUGAAUGACUUUACUUUUGGCUGCACUGAAUUUCAUAUUAAAAAAUUGUUGCCUAUGUGCAGUUUUCCAAGCAUGUCACAUUGCUGCUACUCAGGGACCCGAUUUUUUCUUUAUUGACUGCUUAUCAUUUCAUGUGCAUUUGCAUGUGUCCAUGCUCACUGAGCUAUCCAGAGACUUCAGAUAAAAUACUUAAGAGGAAAGAAUACUUAAGAAACAAAGACUUCCCUACCACCUGUCCCACCAGAGCUCCUGAAGCACAAGGCUGAAUCACAUAUCUUAGACUUACUUUAAUUCUGUCUGCCUAGCAGAGAUAACAGAGCUCUGGAGGAGAACCUCUAGCUCAUCUCUGCUAAUAAAUGAGCAAGUGCCAAAUUUGCUAGGCCUGACUAGCUACACCAGUGGCUUGUAGCCUUGUAGGCUAAUGUCAGCCUAGGCAGCAUUGCCAUCUGAUUUUUCCUGGAAGAGAUGGGGAGUACCACUGGAACUGUUCCUGUAGGGAGCCUUUCUAAAUUACCACGUGAAACCUCCUAAUGCUGCUGUAAUGCAGACUAGAGAGCAACCUGCAUCCCCAUCUCCCCAGCUCUGGCUGCAGCCUCAUGAUGGAUGAGGGUGGAGACAGCUUCUUGCUUCAGGGGAUGCUAUCUGCUCAUGUAGGUUGUGCCACCAGAAUUAAGUCCCAAAGCUGAUAAAAGUGAACUGCUGGUUAACGUAGAAGAUAUUGGACUCCCCUGCAAGGCACAGGACGCUGCAUGUGGUGUUCUGCAUGAAAUUCAAUGCUGAGGUGUGUUCAGAGUGCAUUGACUAGACAGCCCUUCAAGAGACCUUUAUGCUAGGAUCCCUAGCCUGGAGCUGCCACUCAGCUGAGCAUGAAAUAGGUACUGAGGGGUCAGCAUGUGUGAGAUGGUGGUGAGUGUGGGCUCCACAGAAGCCCAGGAAUGCUGAGGUUUGAUAGUGAGGUUCCAAAUGAGUUUGGUAAAUGCCAGGCUUGGUUGCAAGUGCCUCAGACAGUUUGAGCAUUCCUCCUCCUUACCCCCCCACAUACACCUGUAUCCUUUAUAAGAUCCAGCCAUGGCAAUUGUCACUGCAGACAAUAAAUAUUGUUUC